rnacentral:rRNA from 1 species
AUUGAACGCUGGCGGCAGGCCUAACACAUGCAAGUCGAGCGGAUGAAGGGAGCUUGCUCCUGGAUUCAGCGGCGGACGGGUGAGUAAUGCCUAGGAAUCUGCCUGGUAGUGGGGGAUAACGUCCGGAAACGGGCGCUAAUACCGCAUACGUCCUGAGGGAGAAAGUGGGGGAUCUUCGGACCUCACGCUAUCAGAUGAGCCUAGGUCGGAUUAGCUAGUUGGUGGGGUAAAGGCCCACCAAGGCGACGAUCCGUAACUGGUCUGAGAGGAUGAUCAGUCACACUGGAACUGAGACACGGUCCAGACUCCUACGGGAGGCGGCAGUGGGGAAUAUUGGACAAUGGGCGAAAGCCUGAUCCAGCCAUGCCGCGUGUGUGAAGAAGGUCUUCGGAUUGUAAAGCACUUUAAGUUGGGAGGAAGGGCAGUAAGUUAAUACCUGGCUGUUUUGACGUUACCAACAGAAUAAGCACCGGCUAACUUCGU